rnacentral:piRNA from 1 species
GGGGGCCCGAGGUGGGAUCCCGAGGCCUCUC